rnacentral:rRNA from 1 species
CGUAGGGGGCAAGCGUUGUCCGGAUUCAUUGGGCGUAAAGCGCGCGCAGGCGGCUUCGCAAGUCGGCCGUGAAAUCUCCAGGCUCAACUUGGAGGGGUCGGGCGAGACUGCGGAGCUCGAGGUGGGCAGAGGGCAGUGGAAUUCCGGGUGUAGUGGUGGAAUGCGUAGAGAUCCGGAGGAACACCAGUGGCGAAGGCGGCUGCCUGGGCCUGGCCUGACGCUGAGGCGCGAAAGCGUGGGGAGCGAUCCGGAUUAGAUACCCGGGUAGUCCACGCCGUAAACGAUGGGCACUAGGUGUCGGGGGUAUCGACCCCCUCGGUGCCGGCGCUAACGCAAUAAGUGCCCCGCCUGGGGAGUACGGCCGCAAGGCUA